GCACUCGUGGUCUAGUGGUAGAAUAGCCGCCUGCCAACCAAAUUGGCAACGGCUGGCGCGUUCGUUCGCGCUACACAAUGAAUCUGCUCGUAGUGAACACUACGUAUAUGCUAUAUGCAGGGCGCGGCAGACCCGGGUUCGAUUCCCGGCGAGUGCA
rnacentral:tRNA from 1 species